rnacentral:rRNA from 1 species
AGACCCGAAACCCGGUGAUCUAGCCAUGGGCAGGUUGAAGGUUGGGUAACACUAACUGGAGGACCGAACCGACUAAUGUUGAAAAAUUAGCGGAUGACCUGUGGCUGGGGGUGAAAGGCCAAUCAAACCGGGAGAUAGCUGGUUCUCCCCGAAAGCUAUUUAGGUAGCGCCUCGUGAAUUCAUCUCCGGGGGUAGAGCACUGUUUCGGCUAGGGGGUCAUCCCGACUUACCAACCCGAUGCAAACUGCGAAUACCGGAGAAUGUUAUCACGGGAGACACACGGCGGGUGCUAACGUCCGUCGUGAAGAGGGAAACAACCCAGACCGCCAGCUAAGGUCCCAAAGUCAUGGUUAAGUGGGAAACGAUGUGGGAAGGCCCAGACAGCCAGGAUGUUGGCUUAGAAGCAGCCAUCAUUUAAAGAAAGCGUAAUAGCUCACUGGUCGAGUCGGCCUGCGCGGAAGAUGUAACGGGGCUAAACCAUGCACCGAAGCUGCGGCAGCGACACUGUGUGUUGUUGGGUAGGGGAGCGUUCUGUAAGCCUGUGAAGGUGGCCUGUGAGGGUUGCUGGAGGUAUCAGAAGUGCGAAUGCUGACAUAAGUAACGAUAAAGCGGGUGAAAAGCCCGCUCGCCGGAAGACCAAGGGUUCCUGUCCAACGUUAAUCGGGGCAGGGUGAGUCGACCCCUAAGGCGAGGCCGAAAGGCGUAGUCGAUGGGAAACGGGUUAAUAUUCCCGUACUUGGUGUUACUGCGAAGGGGGGACGGAGAAGGCUAUGUUGGCCGGGCGACGGUUGUCCCGGUUUAAGCGUGUAGGUGUGUGUUCCAGGUAAAUCCGGUUCACUUUAACACUGAGGCGUGACGACGAGGCACUACGGUGCUGAAGCAACAAAUGCCCUGCUUCCAGGAAAAGCCUCUAAGCAUCAGGUAACAUCAAAUCGUACCCCAAACCGACACAGGUGGUCAGGUAGAGAAUACCAAGGCGCUUGAGAGAACUCGGGUGAAGGAACUAGGCAAAAUGGUGCCGUAACUUCGGGAGAAGGCACGCUGACACGUAGGUGAAGUGAUUUACUCACGGAGCUGAAGUCAGUCGAAGAUACCAGCUGGCUGCAACUGUUUAUUAAAAACACAGCACUGUGCAAACACGAAAGUGGACGUAUACGGUGUGACGCCUGCCCGGUGCCGGAAGGUUAAUUGAUGGGGUCAGCGCAAGCGAAGCUCCUGAUCGAAGCCCCGGUAAACGGCGGCCGUAACUAUAACGGUCCUAAGGUAGCGAAAUUCCUUGUCGGGUAAGUUCCGACCUGCACGAAUGGCGUAAUGAUGGCCAGGCUGUCUCCACCCGAGACUCAGUGAAAUUGAACUCGCUGUGAAGAUGCAGUGUACCCGCGGCAAGACGGAAAGACCCCGUGAACCUUUACUAUAGCUUGACACUGAACAUUGAGCCUUGAUGUGUAGGAUAGGUGGGAGGCUUUGAAGCGUGGACGCCAGUCUGCGUGGAGCCGACCUUGAAAUACCACCCUUUAAUGUUUGAUGUUCUAACGUGGACCCGUGAUCCGGGUUGCGGACAGUGUCUGGUGGGUAGUUUGACUGGGGCGGUCUCCUCCUAAAGAGUAACGGAGGAGCACGAAGGUUGGCUAAUCCUGGUCGGACAUCAGGAGGUUAGUGCAAUGGCAUAAGCCAGCUUGACUGCGAGCGUGACGGCGCGAGCAGGUGCGAAAGCAGGUCAUAGUGAUCCGGUGGUUCUGAAUGGAAGGGCCAUCGCUCAACGGAUAAAAGGUACUCCGGGGAUAACAGGCUGAUACCGCCCAAGAGUUCAUAUCGACGGCGGUGUUUGGCACCUCGAUGUCGGCUCAUCACAUCCUGGGGCUGAAGUAGGUCCCAAGGGUAUGGCUGUUCGCCAUUUAAAGUGGUACGCGAGCUGGGUUUAGAACGUCGUGAGACAGUUCGGUCCCUAUCUGCCGUGGGCGCUGGAGAACUGAGGGGGGCUGCUCCUAGUACGAGAGGACCGGAGUGGACGCAUCACUGGUGUUCGGGUUGUCAUGCCAAUGGCACUGCCCGGUAGCUAAAUGCGGAAGAGAUAAGUGCUGAAAGCAUCUAAGCACGAAACUUGCCCCGAGAUGAGUUCUCCCUGAGACUUAAAGUCUCCUGAAGGAACGUUGAAGACGACGACGUUGAUAGGCCGGGUGUGUAAGCGCAGCGAUGCGUUGAGCUAACCGGUACUAAUGAACCGUGAGGCUUAACCUU